rnacentral:rRNA from 1 species
GAUGAACGCUGACAGAAUGCUUAACACAUGCAAGUCUACUUGAACUUCGGUUUGGGUGGCGGACGGGUGAGUAACGCGUAAAGAACUUGCCUCACAGAUAGGGACAACAUUUGGAAACGAAUGCUAAUACCUGAUAUUAUGAUUUUAGGGCAUCCUAGAAUUAUGACAGCUAUAUGCACUGUGAGAGAGCUUUGCGUCCCAUUAGCUAGUUGGAGAGGUAACGGCUCACCAAGGCGAUGAUGGGUAGCCGGCCUGAGAGGGUGAUCGGCCACAAGGGGACUGAGACACGGCCCUUACUCCUACGGGAGGCAGCAGUGGGGAAUAUUGGACAAUGGACCAAGAGUCUGAUCCAGCAAUUCUGUGUGCACGAUGAAGUUUUUCGGAAUGUAAAGUGCUUUCAGUUGGGAAGAAAAAAAUGACGGUACCAACAGAAGAAGUGACGGCUAAAUACGUG